rnacentral:ncRNA from 1 species
UGUCUCCUCCACCCUUUCCUCCUUUGGUGUGGAUUCAAGCCCGAGCCCCUCCAGAGCUCGGGCUUUUUUUC